GACAUUUCAGACAUCUUCGAAAGGCCUUCCCUAUUCUCUGCAGAGACAUCAAUUAUGAGACAUAUCCAGAAAGAAACUGCUAUCGCCCAAUAUCGAGGAGAUUGCUGCCUGUGAUCUUCUCUAGGAUUUGGAUGGUUUCCUGUCUCACUUUUAGCCAUGGCCACAGCGAAGUCCACUGCUGAUGUGCCUCUGCUCAGAGACAAAAGAACACAUGACCUUCAAGAGAAACUGACAGAAGUAGGACUGGCACUCGAGUACUGGUUGCCCAUGUUGCAGGAACACCUGGGUGUGACUUGUGCCCAGGCCUUGCAACAUCUAGAAGAAAAAGACCUCCAGAAGCUGAAAUCUCAAGCACGACAUUCCUGGGAGAAGAAAGCCUUGGAGAUGCUUCUUAACAUGUCACACUCAAAUAGUCUUUCUGAG